CCUACGGGUGGCAGCAGUAGGGGAUAUUGCUCAAUGGGGGAAACACUGAUGCAGCGACGCCGCGUGGGUGAAGGAGCGUUUCGGCUCGUAAACUCCUUUUGGCAGAGAAGAAGAUGACGGUAUCUGACGAAUAAGCCCCGGCUAACUACGUGCCAGCAGCCGCGGUAAUACGGAGGGUGCAAGCGUUACGCGGAGUUACUGGGCGUAAAGAGCGCGCAGGCGGCAUAGCAAGCCAGAUGUGAAAGUCCAGGGCCUAACCACAGGACUGCACUUGGAACUGUAAGGCUAGAGUAUAGGAGGGGUAGGUGGAAUUCCUGGUGUAGGGGUAAAAUCCGUAGAGAUCAAGAGGAAUACUGGUGGCGAAGGCGACCUGCUGGAACGUGACUGACGUUGAGGCCCGAAGGCGUGGGGAGCAAACAGGAUUAGAUACCCCGGUAGUC
rnacentral:rRNA from 1 species